AGCAGCGAGCAUUACGGUCAUUCUGACGCUGGAGAAUAUGACAGUAAUGCCCGCUGACUU
rnacentral:pre_miRNA from 2 species